AAGGAAUAUUGCUCAAUGGGAGAAAUCCUGAAGCAGCAACGCCGCGUGGAGGAUGAAGGGUCUAUGACUUGUAAACUCCUGUAAAGAAGGAAAAAAUUCCCAUUAGACGGGAGAUGAUGGUACUUCCGGAGUAAGCCCCGGCUAACUACGUGCCAGCAGCCGCGGUAAUACGUAGGGGGCAAGCGUUGUCCGGAUUUACUGGGUGUAAAGGGUGCUCAGGCGGAUUUGUAAGUCAGAGGUGAAAUCUUACAGCUUAACUGUGAAACUGCCUUUGAUACUGCAAGCCUAGAGUAUGGAAGAGAGUGAUGGAAUAUCUGGUGUAGCAGUGAAAUGCGUAGAUAUCAGAUAGAACACCAAUGGCGAAGGCAGUCACUUGGUCCAUUACUGACGCUAAAGCACGAAAGCGUGGGUAGCAAACA
rnacentral:rRNA from 1 species